UGAGUACGAGAUGCUACGGCAUCGAAGCAGUCUAUGUCAUACUUCCAAGAAAAGCUUGCACUGUCAUAAACAAAGAAUGCCUGUACCAUAACCGACACAGGUGGGUAGGUAGAGUAUACUAAGGGGCGCGAGAUAACUCUCUCUAAGGAACUCGGCAAAAUGACUCCGUAACUUCGGGAGAAGGAGUGCCUUAUUUCUAAGGUUGCAAUAACAAGAUCCAAGCAACUGUUUACCAAAGACACAGGUCUCCGCUAAGUCGUAAGACGAUGUAUGGGGGCUGACGCCUGCCCAGUGCCAGAAGGUUAAAGAAGUUGGUUAGCAUUAGCGAAGCUGAUAACUGAAGCCCUGGUGAACGGCGGCCGUAACAAUAACGGUCCUAAGGUAGCGAAAUUCCUUGUCGGGUAAGUUCCGACCCGCACGAAAGGCGUAAUGAUUUGGAUACUGUCUCGGAGAGGGGCUCGGUGAAAUAGACUUGUCUGUGAAGAUGUGGACUACCUGCACCAGGACAGAAAGACCCUAUGAAGCUUUACUGUAACUUGAGAUUGAAAUUGGACUUUAUUUGCGCAGUAUAGGUGGGAGGCGUUGAGAAUAAUCUUGCGGGAUUGUUGGAGCCAUCAGUGAGAUACCACUCUUGUAAUGUUAGAUUUCUAACUUUGUAUCAUUAUCUGGUCAAAGAACAGUUUCAGGCGGGCAGUUUGACUGGGGCGGUCGCCUCCCAAAGGGUAACGGAGGCGCACAAAGGUUUCCUCUGAACGGGUAGAAAUCGUAUCUAGAGUGUAAAGGCAUAAGGAAGCUUGACUGUGAGACCUACAAGUCGAGCAGGGACGAAAGUCGGUCUUAGUGAUCUGACGGUGCUGAGUGGAAAGGCCGUCACUCAACGGAUAAAAGUUACUCUAGGAUAACAGGCUGAUCUCCCCCAAGAGUUCACAUCGACGGGGAGGUUUGGCACCUCGAUGUCGGCUCAUCGCAUCCUGGGGCGGUAGUCCGUCCCAAGGGUUGGGCUGUUCGCCCAUGAAAGCGGUACGCGAGCUGGGUUCAGAACGUCGUGAGACAGUUCGGUCCAUAUCCGGUGUAGGCGUUAGAAUAUUGAGAGGAGCCUUCUCUAGUACGAGAGGACCGAGAAGGACAUACCUCUGGUGUACCAGUUAUCGUGCCAACGGUAAACGCUGGGUAGCUAUGUAUGGAGUGGAUAACCGCUGAAAGCAUCUAAGUGGGAAGCCCACCUCAAGAUAAG
rnacentral:rRNA from 1 species